AACGAACGCUGGCGGCAUGCCUAACACAUGCAAGUCGAACGAGACCUUCGGGUCUAGUGGCGCACGGGUGCGUAACGCGUGGGAACCUGCCCUUAGGUUCGGAAUAACUCCCCGAAAGGGGUGCUAAUACCGGAUAAUGUCUUCGGACCAAAGAUUUAUCGCCUUUGGAUGGGCCCUCGUUGGAUUAGCUAGUUGGUAGGGUAAAAGCCUACCAAGGCGACGAUCCAUAGCUGGUCUGAGAGGAUGAUCAGCCACACUGGGACUGAGACGCGGCCCAGACUCCUACGGGAGGCAGCAGUGGGUAAUAUUGGACAGUGGGGGAAAGGCUGAUCCAGCAAUGCCGCGUGAGUGAUGAAGGCCUUAGGGUUGUAAAGCUCUUUUACCCGGGAUGAUAAUGACAGUACCGGGAGAAUAAGCUCCGGCUAACUCCGUG
rnacentral:rRNA from 1 species